rnacentral:rRNA from 1 species
UACGAAGGGGGCUAGCGUUGUUCGGAAUUACUGGGCGUAAAGGGCGCGUAGGCGGCGUCGUCAGUCAGGCGUGAAAGCCCCGGGCUUAACCUGGGAAUUGCGCUUGAUACUGCGAUGCUUGAGUUCCGGAGAGGUGGGUGGAAUUCCCAGUGUAGAGGUGAAAUUCGUAGAUAUUGGGAAGAACACCGGUGGCGAAGGCGGCCCACUGGACGGACACUGACGCUGAGGCGCGAAAGCGUGGGGAGCAAACAGG